CUUCAUCCCCACUUCUCUAUAUCCCAUAACAAGCAAGAAAAGAACUACUAGUGAAAUUUAUAGCUAUACAUGUAGCUAGCUUGGGCUCUCUCAAUAAUAAUCUACGACGAGACUGCCCAUCUUCUUAUCGUGUAACACUAUCAGUUGAAGCUGCCAGCAUGAUCUUAACCUUCCUCCAUAGUUGAGGAAAGAUCAGAUCAUGUGGCAGCUUCACCCGUUGUGGUAGCACGAGAAACCCUAGUUUCACUCGAAACCCUUUUCUUUAAAUGCUUAAAUGGGCUGUUAGGGUUUUCUUUGUUCAAUCCCUAGAAAAGGAGGGUUUUCAGUGACAGGGUUUUUGCGUCUCGGUGCAGUUCAACGAUUUCUAGAUCUUCCCUGACAUUUUUGGUGAUUGAGCCUUGACAUUCCUUAAUCUGCCGUACUGCUUUUGUUAAUAACUUGGGUAUGCAUUUUCAACUUCUUUUCUAUGAUAUAAUAUAACUAACAAUUCAUAUAUGUUUAGGGUUUUUAUAAAACUGCUUUUUGGUUAGGGCUAAUCCGUUCGGCUUCAAUUUUCUAUAUAUUUUAUGGGAAAAUUAUGCAUCUAUAACCUCUUACCUACUUUACUUGACAUCUUAUAGAGCUAAUUUAUAACAAUGGAUAAGGUAGAGAAUGAAUUUUGACUCAAUGUUAUACUGGAGUCUCCAGAACUAAAAGGUUGCUAAUUCAAAUCUCAGCCAAAUUAACUAAGAAAGAGUCCAAGAAAAUAUCGUGCACCCUUUUAUGUGGUUCAUAAUUUUGUGGACCAUUUCUUGAUAAGUUUUUGAGAUUUGCAUUUCCUCUCAGAAUUAUCUGAGUUUGUGGGAAUAAUGUUAAUGUUCACAUAUUGUGGUUGAAUCCAGCUAAUUCAACUCACAAAUUCACCAAUCAUAAGGUAACUUGUGGUUCUUCUCUUAAAUUUUAAGUCUUGCAUUUCUUUUUUCUCUUUCAAGACUUAAUAGGGUUAAUUAGUUCAGGCUUUACAUGUAGUAAGUCGAUCGAAUCUUACGAAUAAUGCAACUGAGAUCAUAGCCAUUGAUCAGCUAAUAGCCCAACAAGUCAAUUGCUCAAGAAAAUUCAGGAAAGAAAACCUCUUUCUCCAUGUUUUAAAGCAAAAAUGUGACAUUGAAGUUAAAAUAACAAGGUGAAGAAACUGCACUAGAAUACAUACUACAAUGAUAGAACAAUAAGAUUGUCCUAUUUGAAAAGUUUUACUAACUGGAGAAUCUACCUGCAGAUAACCCUCUUGGACCGGGUAUUUAUUUUCUUCUGUCCUUGAUGUUAAAAGAGUGAUAAAAGCAUGAGUAUGCAUUUAUCAGUCUUUUUAUGUCAACUUUUAUAUAUUAAGGACUUCAGAUUUAGUUCACUUUCUUGUAUUUCUUCCAGGCUUGAAGAAGUUGUUGAUGAAAGCACUUACUAGGAUUGUGUAAAACAAAAAAGGAAAAUUCUUUUAAUGUUUAUAUCGGCCCAAUUGUUAUUUUAUGAUAAGAUAUUUGAAGAAGGUUUUGUAGCCAACUAGAAGUUAUAAACUUCGGGAGAAGGAGAUGGACUAAUCAUAAGAACUAUAAUUUCAUAACAUCUAACUAAAUGUGAAAAGUAAAGUUGAUUUCAAAGUAAAAUAUGAGAUUAAUACAAAGAAGUGGAUGGUCUAUCGGUAAUUGAACUGUGUCUGUGUUAGCUAAUUAAGAGAAGAAUAUUUUACUUGAUGAACUUAACUCCUGUUUAUCCAUUUUAUUUAUUGGAAGCUCGUGAAAGGAAGAUUAUUUGCUCAAUUAAUAGAAGUGUAGUGAAUAGACAUUGAUGUUGUUUCAAUUAACAAUAGCAUGUGAACCCAUUAAAUUAGCUUGUUCAAGUUCCUUAGUUUGAAUCUUUCUUUUAUGAUAUAUAUAUAUAUAUAAUGAAGAGUAGUGAUUUGGCUAUCUACCUUGGUUGUUGGAGUUUGGCCCCUCUCUUUUGGUAGGAAGCUGUAUGUGGGGAAGAUUCCAUAUAGCUUUCUUUAUCAGUAGGUACCCAAAAUAUGCAAAAACGUUAUAUUGGUUUAAUUGAUUCUUUCAAUAUAACUUGUGAUCAGUGAAAGACAUCAGGUAGCUAGAGAAUCCAUUGACAAGGCCUUGCUUGCUACUUGCCAUUUAAGGAUUGCUCUUUUGCCAAUGCGAGAGCCAUAAAUUUGUUUUCUAUAAAGGACCCGGAUUUGGCUCGCGUUCUAUCGUUGAAAGUGAGAUUUCAAUCAAAAAGCUUAUGGAUAUAUAUACCUCUGUUAGAGAAAGACAGAGAAGAAGAAGGGACUUACGAUUUGUCACUAUCUCUCUCUCUCUGUUCACAAGAUACUUGCCUAACUCUACAUCACUGCAUGUGAAAUAUUUCUUUAGUGUAUUUCCUUUUUUUCUUGCAUUUAUAUAUUAAGUCUAAUGAUUGAAUUUUGUGUUCCUCUACUCACCAAAAAAUAUUUUUCUUCUAAAUUGUAAUAGAGUAGUCAGUGAGCAUGAUUGUGUCCAAUGAAAUGGGAUGUAUAUAUAUGUUUAUGAGAUGUCAAAUUAAUAGCAUUAUUGUUCUUCUAAAUUUAUUUGUAUGAAAGCCAUAAUAUCAUAAUAAAGAAAGUUAAGGAUGGAUGUGGGUUGAAUCAUUUAUGAA